UACGAAGGGUGCGAGCGUUAAUCGGAAUUACUGGGCGUAAAGCGUGCGUAGGUGGCUUGUUAAGUCGGAUGUGAAAGCCCUGGGCUUAACCUGGGAACUGCAUCCGAUACUGGUGAGCUUGGAGUUUGGAAGAGGGUGGUGGAAUUCCCGGUGUAGCAGUGAAAUGCGUAGAUAUCGGGAGGAAUACCGAUGGCGAAGGCAGGUCUCUGGGCUAGUAACUGACGCUCAUGCACGAAAGCGUGGGGAGCAAACAGG
rnacentral:rRNA from 1 species